GGGGAUUUAGCUCAGAGGCAUAAGUACCUGCCUUGCAAGCAGGAAAUUGUGAGUUCAAUCCCCG
rnacentral:tRNA from 1 species